UUAAGCAGAGCUGUUGAUGAUGUUCACAAUAAACAAAACUUAGUUGUGGUCUGUAGCUAGCCAUACAGGAGGUAGACCUGUAGCAGGGUGACUUCUAGCUUUCAGGUUGGUGAGAAGACACUGUGCUGCUAUUAUGCAGCAGCUCAACAAUUUGUCGAGCUCUUCAGCUCCAUCUGGAUGAAAAGUAAAACAAAAUACUUGUUUUUUUCUGUUCAGUUUGCUUUCUAUUAAUUAAAAAUAUAACUGCUAAUUAAGGAGCAAAUAAGAAAGCACAUAAUGUUUUUAUUAUAGUGGUGAAACGUUGCAACUUUUAAACGGACUGAUGUGGAUUCAUCCUUUUCAGACUAAUGUUAUAUGAUGUAAUGAAGACUUAAUUCUUAUGAGCAACCCACAAAAAUUGACACAAACAAUCCAGUUUCUUAUGUCCUAACAGUUAUAUUACAGUUUAGGUUUUACUACUGGCUCUAACAUGAAAUUUGUCAAAUCCCAUGAACAUGGUUAACCAAAUGAGGAAAAAAUACAAAGUGGAUUCAUCACAUAUACACAUACAGUCCGUCAUACAGUAUGUUGUUCAAUCUAGCUAAAAACAAUAAAGGAAAUCCAUUUGUUUAUGGACAUCAAACUAGGCUAUAUGCUAGCGCCAUAUGCUAGCUAGCUAGCUAUGUG